UACGGAGGGAGCAAGCGUUGUUCGGAAUUACUUGGCGUAAAGAGCGUGUAGGCGGCUGACCAAGUCCGGUGUGAAAGCCCGGGGCUUACCCCCGGAAGUGCGCUGGAAACUGGUCGACUAGAGUAUGGGAGAGGGAAGUUGAAUUCCUGGUGUAGCGGUUAAAUGCGUAGAUAUCAGGAGGAACACCGGCGGCGAAGGCGGGUUCCCGUACCAAUACUGACGCUGGGACGCGAAAGGGUGGGGAGCAAACAGG
rnacentral:rRNA from 1 species